GACAGAGGAGGCGAGCGUUAUCCGGAGUUAUUGGGCGUAAAGCGUCCGUAGGUGGUUUGGCAAGUCCGGGGUUAAAGCCCGGAGCCUAACUCCGGAUCGGCCCUGGAAACUGCCAGACUAGAGUAAGGUAGGGGUUGCGGGAAUUCCCGGUGUAGCGGUGAAAUGCGUAGAUAUCGGGAAGAACACCAGUGGCGAAAGCGCGCAACUGGGCCAUUACUGACACUGAGGGACGAAAGCUAGGGGAGCGAAGGGG
rnacentral:rRNA from 1 species